UGUAAAAAAUCAGUUUACACUAAUAAGCGCCAGGGAAUUACGAGCACAAUCUUAAAACCCAAAGGAUUUGACGGUGUCCCACCCACCUAGAGGAGCCUGUUCUAUAAUCGAUAAUCCACGAUAUACCUCACCACUUCUUGCUUUUCAGCCUGUAUACCUCCGUCGUAAGCCUACCGCUUGAGCGCUAUAAAGUAGGCCCAACAGCCCACCCCGCCAGUACGUCAGGUCAAGGUGCAGCCCAUGAAGUGGGAAGAAAUGGGCUACAAUUUCUAAUACAGAACAAACGAAACACUACAUGAAACAUAGUCAUGAAGGCGGAUUUAGCAGUAAAAGAAGAAAGUAUACUUCUUUUAACAAGGCCCUGGGACGUGUACAAACCGCCCGUCACCCUCUUCAACAGCAUACACCCCUAGUUAUUAACUCCACCUAGCACCUUAGAAGAGGCAAGUCGUAACAUGGUAAGUGUACUGGAAAGUGCACUUGGCAAACAAAGUGUAGCUUAACUAAAGCCCCUCGCUUACACCGAGAAAAUAUCUGUUAAACCCAGAUCACCUUGAGCCCAAAGUCUAGCCUAUAUUUUUUAUAUAUUAAAAAAACCCCCCCCACCUAAAUUCAAUAAAACAUUUUAACCUUUUAGUAGAGGUGAUCGAAAAACAUAUUAGCGC
rnacentral:rRNA from 1 species